rnacentral:rRNA from 1 species
CGGACGGGUGAGUAAUGUAUAGUUAAUCUGCCCUUUAGAGGGGGAUAACAGUUGGAAACGACUGCUAAUACCCCAUACUCCUUCUAUGUUAAUCAUAGUUGGGAAAUGUUUUUUCGCUAAAGGAUGAGACUAUAUGGUAUCAGGUAGUUGGUGGGGUAAGAGCCUACCAAGCCAAUGACGCCUAGCUGGUCUGAGAGGAUGAUCAGCCACACUGGAACUGAGACACGGUCCAG